ACCUGGGUGGCUCAGUCGGUUGAGCGUCUGACUUUGGCUCAGGUCAUGAUCUCACUGUUUGUGGGUUCGAGCCCUGCGUCGGGCU
rnacentral:tRNA from 1 species